CCGGAUAGCUCAGUCGGUAGAGCAGGGGAUUGAAAAUCCCCGUGUCCUUGGUUCGAUUCCGAGUCCGGGCACCA
rnacentral:tRNA from 4 species